GCCCGCUUGGCGCAGUGGUAGUCGCGUCUCACUUGUAACUCUACAAGGAAAUGAGAAGGUCGCUCGUUCAAUCCGGGCAGUGGGCA